GGAAGACAGUGAUACUGGUGAUCAUGCAUGUUACUGCCCCCGUCUCCCUGCGAGACAGAGUGUCACUGUAUUGCCCAGGCUGGAAUGGAGUGGUGUAAUCUUGGCUCACUGCAACCUCCGCCUUCUGGGGGUUCAAGCGAUUCUCAUGCCUCAGCCUCCCGAGCAGGCGCACAACACCACGCCCGGCUAAUUUUUGUAUUUUUAGUAGAGAUGGGGUUUUGCUAUGUUGGCCAGGCUGGUCUGACACUCCUAGCCUCAAGUCUGGUCUGCCUGUCCUGGCCUCUCAAAGUACUAGGAUUACAGGCAUGAGCCACCGCACCCAGUCCUGAUUUUAUCUCUUGAUCAUCUGGAUUAAACUGUACCAGAAGACACUCCUGGGACUUUUGGAUUGCGCAAACAAAUAAAUUUUUUCUUUU
rnacentral:lncRNA from 1 species